CGUGAAGAAUCUGUCCCGUGCGGGGGGAGUAACAGGUGGAAACAUCUGCUAAUACCGCAUAAGACCACGAGGCCGCAUGGCCAUGGGGUCAAAGGAGAAAUCCGGCAUGGGGUGACUUCGCGUCUGAUUAGCUAGUUGGUGAGGUAACGGCUCACCAAGGCGACGAUCAGUAGCCGACCUGAGAGGGUGAUCGGCCACACUGGAACUGAGACACGGUCCAGACUCCUACGGGAGGCAGCAGUGGGGAAUAUUGGGCAAUGGGCGAAAGCCUGACCCAGCAACGCCGCGUGAGGGAAGAAGGUUUUCGGAUUGUAAACCUCUGUCCUCAGUGAAGAAGAAAGUGACGGUAACUGAGGAGGAAGCCCCGGCUAACUACGUGCCAGCCGCAGC
rnacentral:rRNA from 1 species